rnacentral:rRNA from 1 species
AUGUUGGGUUAAGUCCCGCAACGAGCGCAACCCUUAUCCUUUGUUGCCAGCGGUUAGGCCGGGAACUCAAAGGAGACUGCCAGUGAUAAACUGGAGGAAGGUGGGGAUGACGUCAAGUCAUCAUGGCCCUUACGACCAGGGCUACACACGUGCUACAAUGGCGCAUACAAAGAGAAGCGACCUCGCGAGAGCAAGCGGACCUCAUAAAGUGCGUCGUAGUCCGGAUUGGAGUCUGCAACUCGACUCCAUGAAGUCGGAAUCGCUAGUAAUCGUGGAUCAGAAUGCCACGGUGAAUACGUUCCCGGGCCUUGUACACACCGCCCGUCACACCAUGGGAGUGGGUUGCAAAAGAAGUAGGUAGCUUAACCUUCGGGAGGGCGCUUACCACUUUGUGAUUCAUGACUGGGGUGAAGUCGUAACAAGGUAACCGUAGGGGAACCUGC